rfam:Triticum urartu cultivar G1812 contig99035, whole genome shotgun sequence.
GUUGUACUCCCUCCGUCCUAAAAUUCUUGUCUUAAAUUUGUCUAAAUCCGGAUGUAUCUAGUUACAUUUUAGUGUUAGAUACAUCCGUAUCUAAACAAAUGUAAGACAAUAAUUGUGGGACGGAGGGAAUACUAC